UGAGGAAUAUUGGGCAAUGCCCGCAAGGGUGACCCAGCAACGCCGCGUGGAGGAUGAAUGUCGUAAGAUUGUAAACUCCUGUUAGAGGGGAAGAAUAGUACCGGUUGGACCGGUAUAUGACUGUACCCUCAGAGAAAGCCCCGGCUAACUACGUGCCAGCAGCCGCGGUAAUACGUAGGGGGCAAGCGUUGUCCGGAUUUACUGGGUGUAAAGGGCGCGCAGGCGGGAUAAAAAGUCAGUGGUGAAAUCCUACAGCUUAACUGUAGAACUGCCUUUGAUACUUUUAUUCUUGAGUUCGGGAGAGAGAGACGGAAUUCCAGGUGUAGUGGUGAAAUACGUAGAUAUCUGGAAGAACACCAGUUGCGAAGGCGGUCUCUUGGUCCGACACUGACGCUGAGGCGCGAAAGCGUGGGGAGC
rnacentral:rRNA from 1 species